CCUACGGGAGGCAGCAGUGAGGAAUAUUGGUCAAUGGCCGAGAGGCUGAACCAGCCAAGUCGCGUGAGGGAAGACGGCCCUACGGGUUGUAAACCUCUUUUGUAGGGGAGCAAAGAGAGUCACGUGUGACUCAUUGAGAGUACCCGAAGAAAAAGCAUCGGCUAAAUCCGUGCCAGCAGCCGCGGUAAUACGGAGGAUGCGGGCGUUAUCCGGAUUUAUUGGGUUUAAAGGGUGCGCAGGCGGAGGUGCAAGUCAGCGGUAAAAUUGCGGGGCUCAACCCCGUACUGCGGUUGAAACUGCAUCCCUUGAGUGCGCGAGAGGUAUGCGGAAUGCGUGGUGUAGCGGUGAAAUGCAUAGAUAUCACGCAGAACUCCGAUUGCGAAGGCAGCAUACCGGCGCGCAACUGACGCUCAUGCACGAAAGCGUGGGUAUCGAACAGGAUUAGAUACCCGAGUAGUC
rnacentral:rRNA from 1 species